CCUACGGGGGGCAGCAGUGAGGAAUAUUGGUCAAUGGGCGAGAGCCUGAACCAGCCAAGUCGCGUGAAGGAUGACGGCCCUACGGGUUGUAAACUUCUUUUGUCAGGGAGCAAUUGGGUCCACGCGUGGGCUUAGCGAGAGUACCUGAAGAAAAAGCAUCGGCUAACCCCGUGCCAGCACCGGCGGUAAUACGGGGGAUGCGAGCGUAAUCCGGAUUUAUUGGGUUAAAAGGGUGCGUAGGCGGAAUAUCAAGUCAGCGGGAAAAAUUCGGGGCUAAACCCCGCCGUGCCGUUGAAACUGAUGUUCUUGAGUGGGCGAGAGGUAGGCGGAAUGCGUGGUGUAGCGGUGAAAUGCUUAGAGAUCAUACAGAACACCGAUUGCGAAGGCAGCUUACCAAGCUACUUCUGACGUUGAGGCAUGAAAGCGUGGGGAGCAAACAGGAUUAGAUACCCCGGUAGUC
rnacentral:rRNA from 1 species